UUAAGUCGUAACAAGGUAACCGUACCGGAAGGUGCGGCUGGAUCACCUCCUUUCUAAGGAGCACCAUUUCCCAGUCGAAUGAACUAGGGAACAUAAAGUAGGCAUCUGUAGUGGAUAUCUACUUGGUGAAUAUGUUUUGUAAAUCCUGUCCACCCCGUGGAUGGGUAGUCGGCAAAACGUCGGACUGUCAUAAGAAUUGAAACGCUGGCACACUGUUGGGUCCUGAGGCAACACGUUGUGUUGUCACCCUGCUUGGUGGUGGGGUGUGGACUUUGACUUCUGAAUAGUGGUUGCGAGCAUCUAAACAUAGCCUCGCUCGUUUUCGAGUGGGGCUGGUUUUUGCAAUUUUAU
rnacentral:misc_RNA from 1 species